GACGAACGCUGGCGGCGUGCUUAACACAUGCAAGUCGAGCGGUAAGGCCCUUUCGGGGGUACACGAGCGGCGAACGGGUGAGUAACACGUGGGUGACCUGCCCUCAGCUCUGGGAUAAGCCUGGGAAACCGGGUCUAAUACCGGAUAUGACUCCAUGACGCAUGUUGUGGGGUGGAAAGCCUUGUGCGGCUGAGGAUGGGCCCGCGGCCUAUCAGCUUGUUGGGUGGGGUGAUGGCCUACCAAGGCGACGGACGGGUAGCCGGCCUGAGAGGGCGACCGGCCACACUGGGACUGAAACACGGUCCAGACUCCUACGGGAGGCAGCAGUGGGGAAUCUUGCGCAAUGG
rnacentral:rRNA from 1 species